GCACAAGCGGCGGAGCAUGUGGAUUAAUUCGAUGCAACGCGAAGAACCUUACCUGGGUUUGACAUACACCGGAAAACCGUAGAGAUACGGUCCCCCUUGUGGUCGGUGUACAGGUGGUGCAUGGCUGUCGUCAGCUCGUGUCGUGAGAUGUUGGGUUAAGUCCCGCAACGAGCGCAACCCUUGUCUUAUGUUGCCAGCACGUAAUGGUGGGGACUCGUAAGAGACUGCCGGGGGUCAACUCGGAGGAAGGUGGGGACGACGUCAAGUCAUCAUGCCCCUUAUGUCCAGGGCUUCACACAUGCUACAAUGGCCAGUACAGAGGGCUGCGAGACCGUGAGGUGGAGCGAAUCCCUUAAAGCUGGUCUCAGUUCGGAUCGGGGUCUGCAACUCGACCCCGUGAAGUCGGAGUCGCUAGUAAUCGCAGAUCAGCAACGCUGCGGUGAAUACGUUCCCGGGCCUU
rnacentral:rRNA from 1 species